GGGUCAGUGGCGGAAUUGGUAUACGCGCAACACUUAAAAUGUUGUCCGCAUUUAAACGCGGAUGAGGGUUCGAUUCCCUCCUGGCCCA
rnacentral:tRNA from 1 species